GUCGAGCUCGGUAGCAUGAGCUUGUAACCUGUGCGGGAGCUUUGGGUUGAUGGAACACUGGGCCGCACCUUUGGAUAGGGCGUGGUGGCGUUCUUCUCGUCUGCCCAAUCCAAGUUGGGACUUGGCCAAGGUGCCUCCGCGAAGGCGGAGGUGUCUUGGUUGUUGAAUUGGGGAGGGUAAUGUGUGAAGCUGCCAAGGUGCCUCCGCGAAGGCGGAGGUGUCUUGGUUGUUGAAUUGGGGAGGGUAAUGCGUGAAGCUGAAUUCACAGAGUAGCGAAAAUCUCCUACUCUCUUCAGUGGAUGGUGCAACCCAAGCUCAUCAAGUGCCCGGUGGGUGGCACCAACAGAACCAUAAAUC
rnacentral:SRP_RNA from 1 species